rnacentral:lncRNA from 13 species
AUAUAAAGAUGAGUCCUCGAUCGGUAUGGGCAGAGCAGAAAGGUCAAAUGAAGGUCAUGAGUAGGGCCAUGAGUUUUUCCUGAGCACAUGAAAAGACAAGGACCACAGGAGGUCGGUGGGACACCUUAAUUGGGGACGGCAGGCUUGUGGUACAUUAUGAGCCAUCCUCCCCUCAGCAGCCUCCACUGACAAGGGCACAUAAAAAAAGUCAUAGCCCUAGUAAUGGUAAGUAAAUAUAUCUCACAUUUUAGAAACAGAAACAGUUUCACGGUUUGUUUUCCUAGAAUCAUCCUCUUCCAACAAUAACAGAAACACUUUGCACUGGUGCCAACUAGGGCACAUCCUAAAUGGCACCCUAUUCCCUAUGUAGUGCAGUACUUUUGGCUUCAGUAGGGCACUAUAUAUAGGGAAUUGGGUGCAUUUCAGAUUUGCCCUUAGUGAAUAUGGUUCAGAGUUGAACCUAUACAGCAGUAUCUCAAAAUACACCAGAAGCCCCCCCCCUUAACACUCGUCAUAUAAUUAAGAACCUGUGUUUUUACAUCCUUUCUUAAUUCAAAUACAGAAAAAAAUCCUUAAUAGAAAACCUUAUUUUCUUUUCAUCUAUCGUUACUAGGGAAAGGAGAUUUCCCUAACCAGGAAACACUCUGGACUCUAACGUUAGUUGUAGCUCCCUAAGUAAUGAUCCAAUAUAGAGGGUUGCUCCUGGCCCUAGUUGUGUCAGAGUUAAACUGUAAAACACACACCGUCUCUUUUCAUACCCAGAUGGUCUGAAUCAACUAGUUUCUCAUCAGUCAUUGGUUGUGACGGAAAUAUCAAAACAUGUCAUGAUAUCAAAAUUCCCUUUACAGUAUUUACAACAAACCAAAAGACAGAUGGAGACGUCACAUAAGGAGAGAGCGGUGGCGGGGAGGGGGGUGGCGUAGGUAGGCCGUCUGGUUGGUUGGG